CCUACGGGUGGCUGCAGUGGGGAAUAUUGGGCAAUGGGCGAAAGCCUGACCCAGCAACGCCGCGUGAAGGAAGAAGGCUCUCGGGUUGUUAACUUCCUUUUACAGGGGAGUAGCAAGUUACAGUACCUGACGAAUAAGCCACGGAUAACUAUGAGGCAGCAGCCGCGGUAAUACGUAGGUGGCAAGAGUUAUGCGGAUUUAUUGGGUUUAAAGGGCGUUUAGGUGGGAAGGCAAGUUAGAUGUGAAAACUUUGGGCUCAACCAAAAGAGUGCAUUUGAAACUGGAUGUCUUGAGUACAGUAGAGGUGAUCGGAAUUCCGGGUGUAGCGGUGAAAUGCGUAGAUAUACGGAGGAACACCAGUGGCGAAGGCGGUUUGCUGGACAGCAACUGACGCUGAGGCGCGAAAGCGUGGGGAGCAAACAGGAUUAGAUACCCGAGUAGUC
rnacentral:rRNA from 1 species